GAAACCUCCCACACCCCAAAAGCACAUCCGUGUGAAGCUGCACUAUAACAUGAAGGGGUUCGUGACUCCCCUGGUUCCACAGUGACUGCUGAUUAAAGAGACUGCAUUCAUUUAUCAUCAGUCAAGCUGGAACAGGCACUAUACACUUCUAGACCAUUUUCCUGUGAUUCUCAGGAGGGCCGAGUCUCAGCACCAGAGUUUGAGCCAAGGUUUCAGCACUUCCGCUCUUUAGGUUAGAUAUGGCUAGCUGAAUGUCCUUAUGCCCUAACAUCUUCAUGAUCUUGAGUAGCAAGCAUUCUCAAAGGCAAAGACUCUCUGAGGAAAUCCAUAGAGGAGUCCAAGAUGAAACCAUCAGCUGUGACAAUAGGGUAGGAUACCAAGCACUCUAGAGCCUGGUUUGGGGGACCUCCUUGGAAGCAAGGGAGAGAAAGAACAAGCCUACGUGUUUGUUUAUUGUGCUCACCUGAAAGAAAGAACUAUGACCUGGGAAAGGAAACACUUAACAGUCCUGAGCUUUUGUUCUGCAUGAAAAUUAAGUGCUAACAUCUUGGUGAAGUGUGUGAAGUCUAGAAGCCAAAUGAAAACAACUUCAGACACAAGCUGUGGAGGUCUCACAAGCCAUCUCUUUCCUGUGCACAUGUGUGUGUGUUAUUUUCAACUCCAACCCCUUCCAUUUCUGGGUUCUCUGUGUACCAGUGUGGCAUUGAUCCUGUGGCCUUGUUCAGACAGUUUAUGUUCAGUUCAUUUGUCCCACCAUGUCCCUGAUGGAGGGGACCUUAAUUAUCUGCCUCUGUGAAUUAUCUCGUGAGUAGCCAGUCAUUGAAGACCAUACAUAAGUAAAGUCAUAGAGAGCUCAAGGAAGAGAGAGCUUGUUUAAUCAUCUGCUUCAUCAGUGCCAAUUUUUAUAUACUAUGAUGUGUAAUGAUUUGUUCCAAAUUACUUGUUUUGGGGAAAGAAACAAAGAAUGUUUUAUAAAAAUGGCCAUGGAGGUCUCCUGAUUAACCGCCAUGUUUUAUAUUUACUGUUAGGAACUGGUAGAUUUGAAUGGAGUGCUCAGAAGCAAGAGGGUAAUUGUCAUGGCCAAUUUGUGUGUCUACAAGCCAAAAGGAGGGCAGUCAGAGUAUGGCACUUAUGAGAACUGGAUGUUUCUUUAAAGUUGAAGCUUCCGGGGCCAGUUACUAUUUAGCACUUUGAAAGUCCCCCCUUUAAAAAAAAUAUAUAUAUAUAUAAUAUACAUAUACCAGAAUAAUGAAAUGGGGGGUGUACUUGUGAAAACACAAAACUGUGUUUCUUCUGAAUGUUACAAUUGUAUUUUAAAACCUGGUUUCUAUAGAUAACAUUAUGGUAGAUCACUGGAUAGUCCCUCUCUUUCUUUUUUCCGCAGCUGUACCGUCUAAUCUUCCUGGAUGUUUGGGCUGUUUGAUUUCUUUAAAGAUAAUAAGCAUUAUCCAGUUAUCCAUCAUGCUCUAUCUAUAGGCUAUGCCAUGUGACAUAUUGGGCAAUGCUGUAUUAUGAAAACACAUGUAAACCUCUCUGUAACCUGUGUUUAACCCAGCAUAGUUGUAGCAUGUGGUUGUAUUAAUGAACGUUACAGGCCAGCUUUAUAAUUAUUUAUAAAUCUGUAACAUUCAAUAAAGAAGCACAUGUGGCAAGGAUUAAUUAUGCUCCC
rnacentral:lncRNA from 1 species